rnacentral:tRNA from 1 species
GUGCCCGUGGCUUAAUGGACAGAGCGUUGGACUCCGGCUCCAAAGAUUGCGGGUUCGAUUCCCGCCGGGCACUCUA